UACGUAGGUGGCAAGCGUUGUCCGGAAUUAUUGGGCGUAAAGAGCUCGUAGGCGGUCUGUCGCGUCGAAUGAUGGAAAAUCCGGGGCUCAACCCCCGGACCUGCAUUCGAUACGGGCAGACUAGAGUUCGGUAGGGGAGUCUGGAAUUCCUGGUGUAGCGGUGAAAUGCGCAGAUAUCAGGAGGAACACCGGUGGCGAAGGCGGGACUC
rnacentral:rRNA from 1 species